rnacentral:rRNA from 1 species
GUGACGGGUGGACGUGAGUAAGUCUGUAAAACUGCCUGAUGGAGGGGGAUAACUACUGGAAACGGUAGCUAAUACCGCAUAACGUCGCAAGACCAAAGAGGGGGACCUUCGGGCCUCUUGCCAUCAGAUGUGCCCAGAUGGGAUUAGCUAGUAGGCGGGGUAAUGGCCCACCUAGGCGACGAUCCCUAGCUGGUCUGAGAGGAUGACCAGCCACACUGGAACUGAGACACGGUCCAGACUCCUACGGGAGGCAGCAGUGGGGAAUAUUGCACAAUGGGCGCAAGCCUGAUGCAGCCAUGCCGCGUGUGUGAAGAAGGCCUUCGGGUUGUAAAGCACUUUCAGCGGGGAGGAAGGCGGUACGGUUAAUAACCGUGCUGAUUGACGUUACCCGCAGAAGAAGCACCGGCUAACUCCGUGCCAGCAGCCGCGGUAAUACGGAGGGUGCAAGCGUUAAUCGGAAUUACUGGGCGUAAAGCGCACGCAGGCGGUCUGUCAAGUCGGAUGUGAAAUCCCCGGGCUCAACCUGGGAACUGCAUUCGAAACUGGCAGGCUGGAGUCUCGUAGAGGGAGGUAGAAUUCCAGGUGUAGCGGUGAAAUGCGUAGAGAUCUGGAGGAAUACCGGUGGCGAAGGCGGCCUCCCGGACGAAGACUGACGCUCAGGUGCGAAAGCGUGGGGAGCAAACAGGAUUAGAUACCCUGGUAGUCCACGCCGUAAACGAUGUCGAUUUGGAGGUUGUGCCCUUGAGGCGUGGCUUCCGGAGCUAACGCGUUAAAUCGACCGCCUGGGGAGUACGGCCGCAAGGUUAAAACUCAAAUGAAUUGACGGGGGCCCGCACAAGCGGUGGAGCAUGUGGUUUAAUUCGAUGCAACGCGAAGAACCUUACCUGGUCUUGACAUCCACAGAACCUGGCAGAGAUGCCGGGGUGCCUUCGGGAACUGUGAGACAGGUGCUGCAUGGCUGUCGUCAGCUCGUGUUGUGAAAUGUUGGGUUAAGUCCCGCAACGAGCGCAACCCUUAUCCUUUGUUGCCAGCGGUUAGGCCGGGAACUCAAAGGAGACUGCCAGUGAUAAACUGGAGGAAGGUGGGAUGACGUCAAGUCAUCAUGGCCCUUACGACCAGGGCUACACACGUGCUACAAUGGCGCAUACAAAGAGAAGCGACCUCGCGAGAGCAAGCGGACCUCAUAAAGUGCGUCGUAGUCCGCAUUAGAGUCUGCAACUCGACUCCAUUGAGGUCGAAUCGCUAGUAAUCGUGAAUCAGAAUGUCC